GACGAACCGUUCUAACGUUGUUCGGAUUCACUGGGCUUAAAGGGCGCGUAGGCGGGCACGUACGCCCGGGGUGAAAUCCGUCGGCUCAACCGGCGGACGGCCCCGGGUACGGCGUGUCUGGAGGGAGGCAGGGGUCCGUGGAACUUCCGGUGGAGCGGUGAAAUGCGUUGAUAUCGGAAGGAACGCCGGUGGCGAAAGCGACGGACUGGACCUCUUCUGACGCUGAGGCGCGAAAGCCAGGGGAGCGAACGGG
rnacentral:rRNA from 1 species